UACAGAGGUCCCAAGCGUUGUUCGGAUUCAUUGGGCGUAAAGGGUGCGUAGGCGGCGCGGUAAGUCGGGUGUGAAAUCUCGGAGCUUAACUCCGAAACUGCAUUCGAUACUGCCGUGCUUGAGGACUGGAGAGGUGAGUGGAACUGCGAGUGUAGAGGUGAAAUUCGUAGAUAUUCGCAAGAACACCAGUGGCGAAGGCGGCUCACUGGCCCGGUACUCGACGCUGAGGCACGAAAGCGUGGGGAGCAAACAGG
rnacentral:rRNA from 1 species